UCUUACGGAUGAGCAAAGUAAGUGUUCCUGAGAUGGAAUCUACUCCUUGUGAAGAUGCUGUGAA
rnacentral:pre_miRNA from 1 species